AUGGUUCAUUUCCAAUUACGAUGGUAUCGCAUAGUUUACGAAACACCGUAUUUUCACAUUAUCAAGAAACUAUCUGCGCAGUCCCACUCUGCUUUAACCUACUCAUUCCUAAAAGGAACGCUUCUCUGUGGGUCUGUGCGGUUUCUCGCUCACACUUUCACCAACGAUAGACUGAAGCGUAUGGCACCCAGCAGCAGCAUUCGCAGUAUUUUCAUCAUCCUUUGUAAAGACACUCACAAAAGAGGACUUCCAGAAAUGCCUCUGAAAGUGGCAGGAACGAUGAGCUAAGUAUGUCAGAGGUGAGGGGGAGUAAAAGUGACUUUUACUGUCAUAAGUUAGUAAAAUUUAAUCAUUCACAGUGUUUUGAUUACUGUUUAUGUGUUACCUAGGUCUGUUUACAUGCAUUUGCUUAUGCAAAAAGAAACAUUAAAAAAAGAACCAAGAAUAAAAAUGUUCUUCUGCUGAAAGAAUGCCAGGGACAAGAGUGAGAGCAAGGCUUCUCCCGUUGCACCUUGUGAAAUAUGUUACAUGCUUCCAAAAUGGUCACCAGUGGUUCCAACUGUCCCUGUGUGCAUCCUCUUUGGCAAAGUAAUUUUAUCCCUCCCUUCCAUUCAGAAUAAAGUCUACACAUCUUGCCUCAAAUUUGCCUUGUUAUUUGAUUACUUAAGCAAAGGUGGGGAAAGCAGACAUUUGAAAAACAUUUAACUUUGUUGCUGGGAACCAUGGCGCCACCACGUGCAAAAGCCUAACCUAGCUCCUCGCAGGAUGAGAGGCCAGGUGGAGAGUGAGAUCUCAGUCCUUCAGCCUUCCUGGCUGAGGCCUGAGACACGUAACACCUGCUGCAGAGCAGAACUUAUCAGCCACCACCAGGACCAUGAGGAAAAAA
rnacentral:lncRNA from 1 species